rnacentral:lncRNA from 1 species
CCCCCCCCGCUCCCCGCCCCCCAAGCCUUAGUGAGAUUGACAGUCGCGUGGAGGAGGCUUUUCCAGGCACAGCCUUUCUCAUGGCUCAACUCCGAAUGGAUUGGAUUGCGAGUCUGCACGUGAGAAAACCGUUUGGCUUGGCUUGGACCCCUGCCGCCCCCCACCUCCUCCACACACACCCAGUCCAGGGGUCCCCUUUAUCACCCUUUGCUUGCAACUCCAAAAGAAGUUGCCCACCUCCUGAGUCACAACACAAGGUCGAAUAAUUCCUCUAGAUGAAAGAUCAGUUUCAUUUCAAAACGAGAAUAGGUUCCUUUUUUUAUUUUCU